AAUAGGCUACUCAAGUAAAGUAGGCCUAGCUACAAUGCAGGGGUGGAAGUAACGAAUAGGCCUUCAUUAUAUUCUCAUUAAGCCUACAGUAACAUAGGGUUUUAGUAGGUUAGGCUACAUGUAGACCACUUUUUUUAUGUUUUGGAGUUAUUGGUAAAAUAAAUAAAUACUAACGAUACAAAUAAUACAACCACUUAUAAAGUGUGAAGUGUUGUAAAGGUGAGCACGCGAAGUUAAACAAAUCAAACACCCACUUUCUUGCGUCACAGGUGCAUGCUGUGUCUUAUGGCUGUGUCUAGCCAAAGAAGACCGGCUUUGGUCUAGCUAACAUGGUAAACGUUAGCAUGCUCAUGGUAGCAUGCUCUCUGGGACACAGAGUGGACUGGUUAUACUGGGAGUAGAUAGGCUGAGUGGACUGGUUAUAUUAUGCUCUGAGAAUGUACGAGCAAAGAGUUGAACCUGGAGCAGAUUGAAGAGGACGCGGCGGUGCACAAAACGCAAGGAAUGUAAUUCAGACAGUGUGUCGUCUCUCCUGUCUUCAAGAAUGCUCUCAGUAUGUGCAUCAUAUCCUUUCAUCAGCCUGGUGUGUUUUCCUCUCAGUCUGCCUCUGUCUGGGCUGGAUACAGCUCAGCUUGCGUAUGGGACUUGGGAUGACAUCACAGCUACUCACUUGAGAGUUGUCCCCUCGUUCUCAAAUCAAAACAGGAUCACCGUCGGAGCCUCUUCAGCCUGAAACUCUUUGUUCAGCUACAGACAAGAGAAAACUGCCCGUUCAACAUCCAGCACAAAGCAUGAAGACACAUUUAAGCACAGUGCCAUGGUGACAAAUGACUGACAGCAGAUCGUAAGUGGUGACUUGGGAUGGACUCUCUUUAGCCAGGAAAGGUCGCAUGUCAAGGCCUUCCAACGGGAACGAUACGUGGCUGCUAAUCUUGAACGAAUACAUGACCUCGUGCCGGAAGCGCUUCAGGAACCCCCUCCUCAGCCGCUGUAUCCACAUCAGCGUCCUCAUCCAUCUCUUGCGAGCCCCCACGGAGGGGUGAGCCAGACACCCUCCUUUCCUUCAGCCUCUCCUUUUCCGAGAUCACCCCGCCGGUACCGACGCCCACUAUCCCCCCUGCUGCUGACCUGACCCCGUCGCACUCAUCCUGCAGUAGGAGCUCGCCGUCAGCCACUCCUCCCCCCUCCCCACGGUCACUGCUGGAGCCAGAGUCGCAGGAUAAGAAUUCAUCCUCAGACGGGGAACGGUCUCCGUCUCUUAUCUCCUCCCCAUCACUUCCCUCCCUGCUCAUGCUGCACUCUGCCAGAGGCUCCUUCAGCUCUUCGUGUAAUUGGUCCAUCAGACAGCGCAGGAACUCUUGAGUGUCCUGUAGCAAAAAAAGCACCUUGCAUUCACCCAAAAGGAGGAUGCAUGAGUGUGUCUACAUGUACAUAAACACAGACAGGAGUUUUGCAGAGACAAUGACUGACUAUUUCAAAACAAGAAGAUAAGACAGAGAAAUGUGUGAGUAAUGUUGUAUGUCUUGUUCUACAUUGGUAAGAAGUGGUACAAGGAGGACCUAAUCAUACCCACUGAAGACAGGUAAAACUCAUUAUUAUUUAAAAACACUUUUUGACUUUAUCAGUCAAACAAAACCAGACACUUCCAAUCAAACAUAUAAUAAGCCUGAAUAAAACAUGAAACCAUUUCUAAACAUAGUUAUUGUAUUACAAAGAAUCAGACAAACUCCAAGAUUUCAUUUGAGUUGUUUGUGUACUUCAAGAAAUAAUUCAGUUUUUCCUCCUUCCAGAGUCCGACAAAGUCGCAGAUACGUUUUUAAAUUUUCUGCAUGCAGACUGAAGAGAGCAGGCUUCUUAUCGGUCCGGACCAAUCCACUGCAGUCCAGGAAGAACUGAGUGAGAGGAGGACUGGUGAGGAAAGAGAGGAAACAAGUGUGUCAACACAACUGCCUAACUAAAGGAAAACGAAAUAACAGAGAAAAAAGAGCCACACCCCUGGUAAUUGACCAAAUGUAAUGACAGGAAGUGACCUCACCAAUUGGACAGGGCUUGAAGAGCGGCAUUCAUGUAGCAGGAGUUACCAAUAUUUUUCAUUCCUGUCAAGCCUACAAACAACAGGAGAAACAGCCGUACAGUUUUCUUUUUUAUUCCCAGAGAAUGCAAAAGUGUACAAACUAAAUAAUUUAGAUAUGAAUGAUUUUUUUAGA